AACAAACGCUGGCGGCGUGCCUAAUACAUGCAAGUCGAACGGGGAAAGCCUUCGGGUGAGUACUAGUGGCGCACGGGUGAGUAACGCGUGGAUAAUGUGCCCGCGAGUGGGGAAUAACUAGUCGAAAGAUUAGCUAAUAGCGCAUAAGACCACAGGAGCUGCGACUCAAGUGGGCAAAGGUUUUUCCCUCUAAGAGGAGUACGGGUAAGAUUAGCUAGUUGGGGAGGUAACGGCUCACCAAGGCGACGAUCUUUAACUGGUCUGAGAGGAUGAUCAGUCACACUGGAACUGAGACACGGUCCAGACUCCUACGGGAGGCAGCAGUAGGGAAUAUUGCACAAUGGAGGAAACUCUGAUGCAGCGACGCCGCGUGAGUGAUGAAGGCCUUCGGGUCGUAAAGCUCUGUCGCAGGGGAAUAACACAAUGAAGGUACCCUGUAAGAAAGGAUCGGCUAACUUCGUGCCAGCCGCCGCGGUAAUAC
rnacentral:rRNA from 1 species